AGAGUUUGAUCAUGGCUCAGAUUGAACGCUGGCGGCAUGCCUUACACAUGCAAGUCGAACGGCAGCAUGAUCUAGCUUGCUAGAUUGAUGGCGAGUGGCGAACGGGUGAGUAAUACAUCGGAACGUGCCCUGUAGUGGGGGAUAACUAGUCGAAAGAUUAGCUAAUACCGCAUACGACCUGAGGGUGAAAGUGGGGGACCGCAAGGCCUCAUGCUAUAGGAGCGGCCGAUGUCUGAUUAGCUAGUUGGUGAGGUAAAGGCUCACCAAGGCGACGAUCAGUAGCUGGUCUGAGAGGACGAUCAGCCACACUGGGACUGAGACACGGCCCAGACUCCUACGGGAGGCAGCAGUGGGGAAUUUUGGACAAUGGGGGCAACCCUGAUCCAGCAAUGCCGCGUGUGUGAAGAAGGCCUUCGGGUUGUAAAGCACUUUUGUCCGGAAAGAAAUCGCACUUACUAAUAUUAGGUGUGGAUGACGGUACCGGAAGAAUAAGGACCGGCUAACUACGUGCCAGCAGCCGCGGUAAUACGUAGGGUCCAAGCGUUAAUCGGAAUUACUGGGCGUAAAGCGUGCGCAGGCGGUUGUGCAAGACCGAUGUGAAAUCCCCGGGCUUAACCUGGGAAUUGCAUUGGUGACUGCACGGCUAGAGUGUGUCAGAGGGGGGUAGAAUUCCACGUGUAGCAGUGAAAUGCGUAGAGAUGUGGAGGAAUACCGAUGGCGAAGGCAGCCCCCUGGGAUAACACUGACGCUCAUGCACGAAAGCGUGGGGAGCAAACAGGAUUAGAUACCCCGGUAGUCC
rnacentral:rRNA from 1 species